rnacentral:rRNA from 1 species
GAUGAACGCUAGCUACAGGCCUAACACAUGCAAGUCGAGCGACGGGCGCACGGGUGAGUAACAUGUAACAAACCUGCCCUUUACUCGGGGAUAGCCUUACGAAAGAAAGAUUAAUACACGAAAUAAAGGAUGGGGAUGCGUUCGGUUAGGCUGUUGGUGAGGUAACGGCCUACCAAGCCUUCGAUGGAUAGGGGUGCUGAGAGGAAGGCCCCCCACAUUGGAACUUAGGCACGGUCCAAACUCCUACGGGGGGCAGCAGUGUGGUAUAUUGUUCAAUGGGCGUUAGCCUUAACCAGCCCAGUAGCGUGAAGAGUGAAGGCUUAUGAGUCGUAAACUUCUUUUAUAUAAGAAUAUUUAUUAUAUGAAUAAGGAUCGGCUAACUCCGUGCCAGCAGCCGCGGUAAUUC